rnacentral:rRNA from 1 species
ACGAACGCUGGCGGCAUGCCUAACACAUGCAAGUCGAACGAGACCUUCGGGUCUAGUGGCGCACGGGUGCGUAACGCGUGGGAACCUGCCCUUAGGUUCGGAAUAACUCCCCGAAAGGGGUGCUAAUACCGGAUAAUGUCUUCGGACCAAAGAUUUAUCGCCUUUGGAUGGGCCCGCGUUGGAUUAGCUAGUUGGUAGGGUAAAAGCCUACCAAGGCGACGAUCCAUAGCUGGUCUGAGAGGAUGAUCAGCCACACUGGGACUGAGACACGGCCCAGACUCCUACGGGAAGCAGCAGUGGGGAAUAUUGGACAAUGGGCGAAAGCCUGAUCCAGCAAUGCCGCGUGAGUGAUGAAGGCCUUAGGGUUGUAAAGCUCUUUUACCCGGGAUGAUAAUGACAGUGCCGGGAGAAUAAGCUCCGGCUAACUCCGUG